rnacentral:rRNA from 1 species
CCCUAUGGGGUGCAGCAGGCGAGAAACCUUUGCAAUGUGCGCAAGCACGACAAGGUUAAUCCGAGUGUUUCCUGCUAAAGGAAUCUUUUGCUAGUUGUAAAAUCACUAAUGAAUAAGGGGUGGGCAAGUUCUGGUGUCAGCCGCCGCGGUAAAACCAGCACCUCAAGUGGUCAGGAUGAUUAUUGGGCCUAAAGCAUCCGUAGCCUGUUCUGUAAGUUUUCGGUUAAAUCCAUUAGCUCAACUAAUGGGCUGCCGAAAAUACUGCAGAACUAGGGAGUGGGAGAGGUAGACGGUACUCGGUAGGAAGGGGUAAAAUCCUUUGAUCUAUUGAUGACCACCUGUGGCGAAGGCGGUCUACCAGAACACGUUCGACGGUGAGGGAUGAAAGCUGAGGGAGCAAACCGGAUUAGAUACCCGGGUAGUCCCAGCUGUAAACGAUGCAGACUCGGUGAUGCCCUGGCUUGUGGCCAGUGCAGUGCCGCAGGGAAGCCGUUAAGUUUGCCGCCUGGGAAGUACGUACGCAAGUAUGAAACUUAAAGGAAUUGGCGGGGGAGCACCACAAGGGGUGAAGCCUGCGGUUCAAUUGGAGUCAACGCCAGAAAUCUUACCCGAAGAGACAGCAGAAUGAAGGUCAAGCUGGAGACUUUACCAGACAAGCUGAGAAGAGGUGCAUGGCC